GGGAGGGGGAGGGGGAUAGCGGUCGCUCUCGAGCUAGUAGUAUUUUGCAGACCGUUUCGCUCUCAUGUCGUAAUGGAACAAGUAUCCACCCUCGCGAAAUUUCUAGAACAGUCUAAAACUGUUUCGGUGUUGCACAAAUCCACAGUCCAAAACUUUGGCGCGCGCACGCUGCCCGUGCUCGACAGGGCCGCGCUCCACCAUCGGCCCCCGCGCGCGUGCUCCACCGCUCGAUUCGAUCGGCGGCCGGCGGCGGCGUUUCGCGCGGCCCGCGUACGUUGACGCGCGGCCGAGCGCGAGCAGGCACGCAAGUCGACGACGACCUUGACGCCGGCCCGUCGCGUCUCGCCGCGCGGGGCGCCCCCCCGUGGGCCUCUGCUGGUGGGGGCGACGCUCGCGAGUCGCGUGACCUGCCCUGCCGCCGAGGGCAAAGUCGCGCGGGGGCGGACGGGGACGUGCACAGGAGGGAGGGCAGGCGGGUCAUUUCCCGCGCGGGGGUGGUGACGAACUGGAUGCCGUCAUAUCCCGCGGGCGGACAGGGACAGCGCGGCCGCGAUCCGGUGCGGCACGGCACGGCACGGCACGGCAUGCAUGUGAGUGCCCCCGCGCCGUGCCGCGCGCUUUGCGCCGAAUCCAGCCAGCGUGCUCUGUACCCGGCCCAGUCCGCUGCUGCUUCGGCUGGUUUUGGUCGCCGCUUCUGCCAGCAUCCCCGCUGGAGAUCGCGCGCGCGCGCGCCGUUAAUUCGCUGGCGCGGUGGUCGCCGACGCUUCUGGAGCGAGGCAUUUUUAUAUGUAAUCCUGGAUCGUUGUAGGGUUUACUUUGAAGAAAGAAAGAAAGAAAGAAAACAUGGGUUUUA
rnacentral:misc_RNA from 1 species